AGGUGGCGAACGGGUGAGUAACACGUGGGUGAUCUGCCCUGCACUCUGGGAUAAGCCUGGGAAACUGGGUCUAAUACCGGAUAGGACCGCACUUUAGUGUGUGUGGUGGAAAGUUUUUUCGGUGUAGGAUGAGCCCGCGGCCUACCAGCUUGUUGGUGGGGUAAUGGCCUACCAAGGCGGCGACGGGUAGCCGGACUGAGAGGUUGGUCGGCCACAUUGGGACUGAGAUACGGCCCAG
rnacentral:rRNA from 1 species